rnacentral:rRNA from 1 species
CAAUAGCGUAUAUUAAAGUUGUUGCAGUUAAAAAGCUCGUAGUUGAAGAUACGAACGCUUAGACUAGAACAAAGUUUCCGGUGUCUGCGUUCACUCUUCGCAAAGACAGCCUGGCCCAUUAGUUUGGGUCUUGUUUGAGUUGCGUCGUUUACUGUGAACAAAUUAGGGUGUUUAAAGCAGGCCUACGUUUGAAUACACUAGCAUGGAAUAAUAAGAUAUGAUCUUGGUCGUAUUUUGUUGGUGACUACCAAGAAAAUGAUUGAUAGAAACUGUUGUGGGUAUUCGUAUGAGCAUGUCAGAGGUGAAAUUCUUGGAUUUUGAUCAGACGAACUACUGCGAAAGCAUUUACCAAGGAUGUUUUCAUUAA